rnacentral:rRNA from 3 species
GAAGAGUUUGAUCAUGGCUCAGAUUGAACGCUGGCGGCAGGCCUAACACAUGCAAGUCGAACGGUAACAGGAAGCAGCUUGCUGCUUUGCUGACGAGUGGCGGACGGGUGAGUAAUGUCUGGGAAACUGCCUGAUGGAGGGGGAUAACUACUGGAAACGGUGGCUAAUACCGCAUAACGUCGCAAGACCAAAGAGGGGGACCUUCGGGCCUCUUGCCAUCAGAUGUGCCCAGAUGGGAUUAGCUUGUUGGUGAGGUAACGGCUCACCAAGGCGACGAUCCCUAGCUGGUCUGAGAGGAUGACCAGCCACACUGGAACUGAGACACGGUCCAGACUCCUACGGGAGGCAGCAGUGGGGAAUAUUGCACAAUGGGCGCAAGCCUGAUGCAGCCAUGCCGCGUGUAUGAAGAAGGCCUU